AUACGGAGGAUGCAAGCGUUAUCCGGAUUUAUUGGGUUUAAAGGGUGCGCAGGCGGGCGAUUAAGUCAGCGGUGAAAGGCUCGGGCUCAACCGGAGCAGUGCCGUUGAUACUGGUUGUCUUGAAUGCGGUCAAGGCCGGCGGAAUGUGGCGUGUAGCGGUGAAAUGCAUAGAUAUGCCGCAGAACACCGAUAGCGAAGGCAGCUGGCCGGGCCUGCAUUGACGCUGAGGCACGAAAGCGUGGGGAUCGAACAGGAUUAGAUACCCUGGUAGUCCACGCUGUAAACGAUGGACACUCGUUGUCGGCGUCAGACAGUCGGCGGCCAAGCGAAAGUGAUAAGUGUCCCACCUGGGGAGUACGGUCGCAAGGCUGAAACUCAAAUGAAUUGACGGGG
rnacentral:rRNA from 1 species